AGUAACACGUAUCCAACUUCCAUAAUCAGGGAUAGCCUUUCGAAAGAAAGAUUAAUACCUGAUAGACUUUUUUCAAGGCAUCUUGAGAAGUUAAAGAUUUAUUGGUUAUGGAUGGGGAUGCGUUCCAUUAGAUAGUUGGUGAGGUAACGGCUCACCAAGUCUUCGAUGGAUAGGGGUUCUGAGAGGAAGGUCCCCCACAUUGGUACUGAGACACGGACCAAACUCCUACGGGAGGCAGCAGUGAGGAAUAUUGGUCAAUGGGCGAGAGCCUGAACCAGCCAAGUAGCGUGAAGGAUUGAAGGUCCUAUGGAUUGUAAACUUCUUUUAUAGUAGAAUAAAGUGAUCCACGUGUGGAUUUUGUAUGUAUACUAUGAAUAAGGAUCGGCUAACUCCGUGCCAGCCGCAGC
rnacentral:rRNA from 1 species